rnacentral:rRNA from 1 species
CGUGUAGGCGGGCGAUCAAGUCAGAUGUAAAAGGCGACGGCUUAACCGUAGUAUGUCAUCUGAUACUGGUUAUCUUGAGUUCGAGAGAGGGUGGUGGAAUUCCCGGUGUAGCGGUGAAAUGCGUAGAUAUCGGGAAGAACACCUGAAGCGAAGGCGGCCACCUGGCUCGACACUGACGCUGAGGCGCGAAAGCGUGGGGAGCAAACA